rnacentral:lncRNA from 1 species
CAACAAAACUAGGGACAACCUAGCCUCAAAUCCAUGAUCAUUUCAUUUGCAAAAUACACUGUUUCUGAUGUCAUUGUCCUAAGAAUCAUACCAGAAGUAGUUUAAAUGAAGACUUUUACUAUGCACCAAAGAAAUCCAAAUAAGAAAAGUAGAGAUGAGGGCCAAGGAUCAAGAAUCAGCCUUGUUCCAUCUCAGCCACACUGUCUUAGAACCUCAUGAUUCUGAAAGCUGUUUUCAAGUGAUUCUGCCCCCACAAGGGCAGCAGUUAUUUCCUACACGGAGCACCUUUCUCUCCAGCUGGUCCAGGAGGUCCCUGGGGUCCUGGACGCCCUGGCAAACCAAUGGGGCCAGCGCUCCCUGCUGAUCCGCGUUCUCCUGGUGAGCCCUAGUACACAAGAAGGGAAAUAUUUUAAUGAUGAAAAAAAGGACAGUGACUUAACAUUCACUUAAUGAUCAAUGGAAUCUUACAGUUCAGUAAAAAUUGCAGAAAUAACUUUUAGACAAUUUUAAGAUCUCCA